rnacentral:rRNA from 1 species
GGACGAACGCUGGCGGCGUGCUUAACACAUGCAAGUUGAACGAUGUCUUUAGAAGUAUCGAUACCGAAGAAGAUACCGAGUAGCGGACGGGUGAGUACAACACGAGAAGCUAUCCUUUAACGGGGGACAACGUUUGGAAACGAACGCUAAUACCCCAUACGCCGAGAGGUUAAAGCAGCGAUGCGAGAGAGGAGGUGCUCGUGCCCUAUCAGCUAGUUGGUGAGGUAACGGCUCACCAAUGCGAUGACGGGUAGCCGGCCUGAGAGGGCGACCGGCCACUCUGGAACUGAGAUACGGUCCAGACUCCUACGGGAGGCAGCAGUGGGGAAUAUUGGGCAAUGGGAGAAAUCCUGACCCAGCAACGCCGCGUGAACGAAGAAGGCCCUUGGGUCGUAAAGUUCUUUUGCGCGGGAAGAAAGCAAUGACGGUACCGCGCGAAUAAGCCCCGGCUAACUACGUGCCAGCAGCCGCGGUAAUACGUAGGGGGCGAGCGUUGUCCGGAAUUACUGGGCGUAAAGGGCACGCAGGCAGUGCCGUAAGUCGGCUGUUAAAAGAUGCGGCUUAACCGUGUUGUGCAGUCGAAACUGCGGUGCUAGAGUAUCGAAGAGGCAAGUGGAAUUCCCAGUGUAGCGGUGAAAUGCGUAGAUAUUGGGAAGAACAUCGGUGGCGAAGGCGACUUGCUGGUCGAUAACUGACGCUAAUGUGCGAAAGCCAGGGGAGCAAACGGGAUUAGAUACCCCGGUAGUCCUGGCUGUAAACGAUGAAUGCUGGGUGUGCGAGUAGAGAUACUGGCGUGCCGUAGCUAACGCGAUAAGCAUUCCGCCUGGGGAGUACGGUCGCAAGAUUGAAACUCAAAGGAAUUGACGGGGGCCCGCACAAGCGGUGGAGCACGUGGUUUAAUUCGAUGCAAA